rnacentral:rRNA from 1 species
ACGCACGCUGGCGGCAUGCCUAACCCCUGCAAGUCGCACGCGACCUUCGGGUCUAGUGGCGCACGGGUGCGUCACGCGUGGGAACCUGCCCUUAGGUUCGGAAUAACUCCCCGAAAGGGGUGCUAAUACCGGAUAAUGUCUUCGGACCAAAGAUUUAUCGCCUUUGGAUGGGCCCGCGUUGGAUUAGCUAGUUGGUAGGGUAAAAGCCUACCAAGGCGACGAUCCAUAGCUGGUCUGAGAGGAUGAUCAGCCACACUGGGACUGAGACACGGCCCAGACUCCUACGGGAGGCAGCAGUGGGGAAUAUUGGACAAUGGGCGAAAGCCUGAUCCAGCAAUGCCGCGUGAGUGAUGAAGGCCUUAGGGUUGUAAAGCUCUUUUACCCGGGAUGAUAAUGACAGUACCGGGAGAAUAAGCUCCGGCUAACUCCGUG